rnacentral:rRNA from 1 species
GAUGAACGCUGGCGGCGUGCCUAAUACAUGCAAGUCGAGCGAAUGGAUUAAGAGCUUGCUCUUAUGAAGUUAGCGGCGGACGGGUGAGUAACACGUGGGUAACCUGCCCAUAAGACUGGGAUAACUCCGGGAAACCGGGGCUACUACCGGAUAACAUUUUGAACAGCAUGGUUCGAAAUUGAAAGGCGGCUUCGGCUGUCACUUAUGGAUGGACCCGCGUCGCAUUAGCUAGUUGGUGAGGUAACGGCUCACCAAGGCAACGAUGCGUAGCCGACCUGAGAGGGUGAUCGGCCACACUGGGACUGAGACACGGCCCAGACUCCUACGGGAGGCAGCAGUAGGGAAUCUUCCGCAAUGGACGAAAGUCUGACGGAGCAACGCCGCGUGAGUGAUGAAGGCUUUCGGGUCGUAAAACUCUGUUGUUAGGGAAGAACAAGUGCUAGUUGAAUAAGCUGGCACCUUGACGGUACCUAACCAGAAAGCCACGGCUAACUACGUGCCAGCCGCCGCGGUAA